AGCCAUUAGAUGAUAUUACAUGGUUUUACCUGCCCAAUGUUAUAUAUGAAUGGCCGCGGUACUCUGACCGUGCUAAGGUAGCGUAAUCAGUUGACCUUUAAAUGAGGUCAGGAAUGAAUGGAAUAACCGGGUUUAGCUGUCUCUGUGUCACUAUAUUGAAUUUACUAUCUAAGUGAAAAAGCUUAGGGUUAAAAAAGGGAGGAGAAGACCCUUAGAAUUUUUUUUAAAAGAAAAUAAAAUUUUCUUACAAUUUUAUUGGGGCGAUAAAGAAAUAAUUAAAACUUUCUUUUAUUACAAGCCGAUUAUAUUAAGUGAGAAUAAAUUACCUGAGGGAUAACAGCAUAAUUCUAUAAAUGAGUUUGUGACCUCGAUGUUGGACUAGGAAACUAGCAGGCUAGCCGUUUGCUGUGUUAGGUU
rnacentral:rRNA from 1 species